rnacentral:rRNA from 1 species
CGUGGGGGCAGCUACACAUGCAGUCGAACGGUAGCACAGAGGAGCUUGCUCCUUGGGUGACGAGUGGCGGACGGGUGAGUAAUGUCUGGGAAACUGCCCGAUGGAGGGGGAUAACUACUGGAAACGGUAGCUAAUACCGCAUAACGUCGCAAGACCAAAGAGGGGGACCUUCGGGCCCUCUUGCCAUCGGAUGUGCCCAGAUGGGAUUAGCUAGUAGGUGGGGUAACGGCUCACCUAGGCGACGAUCCCUAGCUGGUCUGAGAGGAUGACCAGCCCACACUGGAACUGAGACACGGUCCAGACUCCUACGGGAGGCAGCAGUGGGGAAUAUUGCACAAUGGGCGCAAGCCUGAUGCAGCCAUGCCGCGUGUAUGAAGAAGGCCUUCGGGUUGUAAAGUACUUUCAGCGAGGAGGAAGGUGUUGUGGUUAAUAACCGCAGCAAUUGACGUUACUCGCAGAAGAAGCACCGGCUAACUCCGUGCCAGCAGCCCGCGGUAAUACGGAGGGUGCAAGCGUUAAUCGGAAUUACUGGGCGUAAAGCGCACGCAGGCGGUCUGUCAAGUCGGAUGUGAAAUCCCCGGGCUCAACCUGGGAACUGCAUCCGAAACUGGCAGGCUAGAGUCUUGUAGAGGGGGGUAGAAUUCCAGGUGUAGCGGUGAAAUGCGUAGAGAUCUGGAGGAAUACCGGUGGCGAAGGCGGCCCCCUGGACAAAGACUGACGCUCAGGUGCGAAAGCGUGGGGAGCAAACAGGAUUAGAUACCCUGGUAGUCCACGCCGUAAACGAUGUCGACUUGGAGGUUGUGCCCUUGAGGCGUGGCUUCCGGAGCUAACGCGUUAAGUCGACCGCCUGGGGAGUACGGCCGCAAGGUUAAAACUCAAAUGAAUUGACGGGGGCCCGCACAAGCGGUGGAGCAUGUGGUUUAAUUCGAUGCAACGCGAAGAACCUUACCUACUCUUGACAUCCAGAGAACUUAACAAAGAUGCUUUGGUGCCUUCGGGAACCCUGAAACAGGGGCUGCAUGGUCGCCAUCCACCAG